GAAGGCAAGUACAAACACAUCAGCACACACACACACACACACACAGGCACACACACACACACACACACACACACACACACACAGCCUACGCAAAUUUUGCUUUUUUAUCACAGGUGCAUUAAGCACAUAUAUUUUUACAGUUCAUAUGGCAUUAACCCGUACUUGAGUCGUGAGAGCAACAAGAAGCAGGAUGUCACGUAUAGGACCUAAAAGUACACGGUGUGCAUCACAGCAAGUUAGCACAUGGGCUACUGACUGCUUGGCACCAUAAAUAAACCUUUACAGAACUGCACAGUGUAGAAUAUAUUGCAGAAUGUAGAAGAGCAAGAAGAAUUCAAAAUCUAAGAAGACCUUUACAGAAGACACCAAGCUUUCAGAAGCAACAUUUGUUUUUCAAUAUCCACUGUAAUAAAUUUAUCUCACAGAAACAUGUUUAUUUCAGUUUUGAUUUUGUUUGCAGUGAUUACCCAUCUAUGGGUGAGGCCCUCUUUGAGGAGCUCAGGGUCUUGUCAACAGUAUCACAAACAUAAAGUAGCACAUAACUGUGAAGUAGAAGGAAAAGGAUACAUGGCUUCAUUUUUUUUCAUAUACAAAUCCGAUUUGUGUGUAUAUGCCUCAGUAAUUGUUCUAUGAAGGUCUCAGAGGUUUGUUGGGGAACAUUAGUUAACAACAGCAUAAGACCAAGGAACACAGCAGAUAGGUCAGAGAGAAAGUUGUGGAUAAGUUUAAUGUGAACAUCUCAGAAAGCUCUCCUCAAUUCGUCAUCUGCAAAUGGAAAAAGUAUGGUACAUCUCUAAGCCUACCAAAGCACUGGAGGCUGCCUUAACUGACAGUCAGCUGGGGAAGGCCAGCAUCAGAUAGCCAAAGGGUUUAUGUUAACUCUGGAGGAGAUGCAAAGAUCCACAGCUCAGGUGUGAGAAUGUGUUAACAGGACAACUAUUAGUUGUGCAUUCCACAAAUCAGGUCUUUAUGGAAGAGUGGUAAGAAAAAAGUCAUUGUUGAAAUUAAGCCCUAAGAAGUCAUGUUUGUAGUUCGCCACAAGCCACGUAGGAGACGCAAACAUUUGGAAGACGGUGCUUUGAUCAGAUAAGAUCAAAUUUAACUUUCUGGCCAACAUGCAAAAUGCUUUGUGUCAUAAAAAACUAACACUCCACAUCACCCUGAAAACAUCAUUCCUUGCAUGAAACCUAGCUGUGGCAAAUUGAAGCUGUUGAAUUGGUUCUCUUCGGCAAAAACAUGGGACCCGGUAAGCAUUGAAAGGAAGAUGGUGAACUGUGGAAAAAAAUCUGUUAGAGGCUACAAAAGACUCCGCCCUGGGGUGGAGGUUUACCUUCCAGCAGGACAAUGACUCCAAACAUUCAGCCAGAGCUGCAAUGGAAUAGUUUAGAUCAAAGCAUCUGUUAGAAUGGCCCAGUCAAAGUCUGACCUAAAUCCAAAUGAGAAUGUGACAAGACGAGAAAUUGUUGUUCCUUAUGGUAUUAAUUUAACUUGUCUAUGUUUGAGUUAAAGAUAAUUUUACAAAAAUGUGAGUCUUGGGAUGUGUACAGCUGGUGGAAAUAUACCACCAAUGUCAGAAUCUAUGGUGGCUGUGUGCAGGUUAUGUGUGUGCUGUUUUUUUCUGUUUCUCCAUUUUAGGGUUUGACGGGCAGGUGCUUCUGCACAGGUGUUCCUCAUCUGUCAGCAAUCAGCUGGGCUUCUUUAGUGAGUGGAGAGCCAGAGGAAGGCGUCAGCUCGUUGUUGUUCACUCAGUGAUCCAGCCUAGUUGGGUGUUUCAUGGAUUUUUCUUCACCAGCAGUCUUGAGCCGUUUCUGAAGGAGUGUGAAAGCUCAAAGUUGCAAUGCCUUCAACUUAUGGUCCCUGCUCUGUUCUCCAACUCCAAGCCCAGCCUCUCAAAGAACUCACCAAGCCUAACUCAGAUGAGUAUUCACCUACCUUGUCCACCCUCCAGCGUCCCCCUCAAGUCACAGCGGAGCUUCGCCGCAAAAAAAGGGACAACACCAACUGGAGAUCACUGGAACAAGCCUGCUCACAGCCUGCCAACCACAGACACUGUGGAGAAGGACUUACUCCCCCACCGUCUAGCUCAAACCAGCAACUCAAUUAAUUCCAGUCCGAUCCACCGACCCAGUCCUGGUUCCUGUACAUCCAUUACCCUGGCUUUAAAAAUAAACCGUUUCAAAACAUA